rnacentral:rRNA from 1 species
AACGAACGCUGGCGGCGUGCCUAACACAUGCAAGUCGUGCGAGAAAGUUCCUUCGGGAGCGAGUAAAGCGGCGCACGGGUGAGUAACACGUAGGUAACCUACCCCUUAGUCUGGAACAACUAGAGGAAACUCUAGCUAAUGCCGGAUGAGACCACGGUUUCUUCGGGAAUCGCGGCCAAAGAUGGCCUCUGCUUGCAAGCUAUCGCUGAGGGAUGGGCCUGCGGGUCAUUAGCUUGUUGGUGAGGUAACGGCUCACCAAGGCUAUGAUGACUAGCUGGUCUGAGAGGAUGACCAGCCACACUGGGACUGAGACACGGCCCAGACUCCUACGGGAGGCAGCAGUAGGGAAUCUUCCGCAAUGGACGAAAGUCUGACGGAGCAACGCCGCGUGAGUGAUGAAGGCUUUCGGGUCGUAAAACUCUGUUGUUAGGGAAGAACAAGUACGAGAGUAACUGCUCGUACCUUGACGGUACCUAACCAGAAAGCCACGGCUAACUACGUGCCAGCAGCCGCCGUAAAAC